rnacentral:rRNA from 1 species
AUUUUCCGCAAUGGGCGCAAGCCUGACGGAGCAACGCCGCGUGAGGGACGAAGGCCUCUGGGCUGUAAACCUCUUUUCUCAAGGAAGAAGACAUGACGGUACUUGAGGAAUAAGCCACGGCUAAUUCCGUGCCAGCAGCCGCGGUAAUACGGGAGUGGCAAGCGUUAUCCGGAAUUAUUGGGCGUAAAGCGUCCGCAGGCGGCCUUGAAAGUCUGUUGUUAAAGCGUGGAGCUCAACUCCAUUUCAGCAAUGGAAACUACAAGGCUAGAGUGUGGUAGGGGCAGAGGGAAUUCCCGGUGUAGCGGUGAAAUGCGUAGAUAUCGGGAAGAACACCAGUGGCGAAGGCGCUCUGCUGGGCCAUAACUGACGCUCAUGGACGAAAGCCAGGGGAGCGAAAGGGAUUAGAUACCCCA